rnacentral:rRNA from 1 species
CAGCCUGCAACUCGGCUGCAUGAAGCUGGAAUCGCUAGUAAUCGCGGAUCAGAAUGCCGCGGUGAAUACGUUCCCGGGUCUUGUACACACCGCCCGUCACACCAUGGGAGUCGGGAAUGCCCGAAGUCAGUGACCCAACCGGAAAGGGGGGAGCUGCCGAAGGCAGGCCUGGUAACUGGGGUGAAGUCGUAACAAGGUAUC